CACACACACACACACGAGGAUGCUAACACAGAGAUACAAAUGCUCAUAAAUAAAAAAAAUAAUCUUUUAAAAAGUCAUGUGAUACACUUCACCUUGCUCAGGUGCCGUAGUACGGUGCUUGUUACAGCCCCAUCCACAUUUGUUACUAUUUUCCCUAUUGCUAACAUGCUGAUUCUCAGAGCCAGUAUCUUUUUGAAGAAACCUGGCAGGAAACACACGUCUGCCUGAGAUCUCAAUUUGUCUUUUGCAUGCUAAGGGAUGUAGCUCCUCACACGGUGCCUUUCAUUGUCAAGCCCAGAAGAUCUCCGUAGUUAGAGAAUCUGAGGAUAAAACAGGAAUGGGAAAAUCCUACGAAAACAGGUACCGUCCCCAGUACCUCUGUGUCCUGACAAAAGAGCGACUCUCUUACCGUGAUUAGUUCAAACCAGUGAAUUAAGCCCAGAGGAAUCACUUUCAAAUAAGACUCUAAUUUCAGGGACCCAAGGAGGCCUGCAUUUUAAUAAGAUAUUUCAUUGUUAUCCCAAAUACAAAACCAUUGUUUGCCUGACUCUAUAAUUUAUUGUUAGACAGACGCUGCGCUAUUACUGUAGCAAAAUGAAACACGCAAUGAUCUCGCUAAUAAAACAAUUGGAUCAUAAGGCAAAACGGGGCUCGGCAUUUUAGAUAGAGCCCAAUGCCCCUGGGUGGUGCUCUGCAUAGUCUAAUAUUCCCAGCUGGAAUUUCACCUUUCUCUACUCUUCUGAGAAGAAAAUCGCUGCAAUAGCCUGCUAACGAUACCAUUAUAGUCUCCCCAACUUAAUCCUUUGUUCCUCCUGAAGAAAAGGCUGCUUGCCGGUUAUGAAUAUUCUCCAUGACAAAUUCUAUCAAUUAACACACUAGCGUGUUCUUGCUGGGUAGUAAGAGCUUCUUGAUUAACAUUAGAAGGUAUAUAUUUUGCACACCAUAGGCAAAGCUAUUCCUUCCUCUAGAAAGGGAGAAAAGUUUAGAAAGGUUGGGGAGGGGUGUGGAUGACUUGGAAAUAACAUGGUCCACUCUCUCCCCCUCACAGUUUCUCUGUGUUCCUUUAAGGACAGCAAGGGAGUGCUCCUCAUCAUUUUUGUCUUUUACUCUUCUGGGGAAAGCUUAGCUGAGCUGAUCUCUCCCAUGGAGGCUACUUUAGUUGUUCAGGAAACCCAAAGCUGAAACUUGCCUUUUUUCUAACACCCAAGAGGCGAACGAUGGCUCUGUUUCCAUCCGUUGAGUACAGUGAGGUAGAUUUGAGGUAUUUGGUGGGUGAUAAAGACAGAAAGGGUGGGCUGAUUCAGAGACAGCCCCCCCCCCCAUCCCGUCCCCUAGCAGUUAUGAGAGAACAGAGGGCAGUGGCUGUCGAUGGUCCUCCCUGAGUCCUGAGGGUCAGUUUUAUACUCAAGACAUCCAGUCAGCUGGGAGCCUGGACAGUGAGGCUGCUGGCUACAUCUGAUGGAGCUUCUAGAAGCAGGUCCUACUCUAUUCCUAAGUCUGCUCAGAGCCAUAGAUGGCCCUGCCGGGACUGAGAUGUGAUGGAGGUGGGUCUUGUAAUAAUAAAGAAACUGCCUCGGCCCUCAUAGGACAGAAAAUUAGGUAGGUGGAGUAUACAGAAGAGAAUGCUGGGAGAAAGAAGCUGAGUCAAGGAGUCGCCAUGAUUCUCCCGCUCCAGACAGACGCAGGUUAAGAUCCUCCCUGGUCUGUUCCACACUACUGUGCCGGGAGGCUGAACACUCAUCCCCACAGUCGCUGAUCAGAGGAUUCGGGGUCCAGCGCCCUCUCCAGGUGCUAUGUCCAGAAGCUCAUGCUCUUCCUGUCUCACCGUCUGCUCUGGUUUUAGUGCAGUUUUGUCUGGUACCAGCAGUUACCUGCCAAUCUGGAAGACUCUAGUCUCAGGGCUGAAACUGACUAGCUGCCAAUGACGAAGCCAACUCUCUACCUCCUCUUUAGUCCUUGGCUAAACAGGAUGAAGAUGCUGGUUCCCCGGGGAGAGGUCACCAGCUGCCUUCUUGCCCCUGUCUUCCCUUCCCUGAGCACAGACGUUGGGCCCAUACAAGGUUGAAAUGAAAUGAAUCAGGGGCCGGUAAGAUGGCUUAGCAUGUAAAAGCGUUAGCUACUCAGAACUGACAACCUGUGUUCGAUCCCUAGAACCCACACAAAAAUCUGGGUGUGGAACCACUCAUCUCUACCCCUACUACUCCUAAGAGGGAAUGGGAGGCAGAGGAGAGGCAAAGACGGGAUUAUGAGGAAGUUCCAGCAGGGUCAGAAACAAGAGAGACAGAGAGACCCUGCCUGACCAAGGGAGAGAGAAAACACCCUUGGAAUCUGCCCUCUGACCUCCAUCUGUGUGCUGUAGCAUAUGCGCAUGCAUACAAAAUGACACAAAUAAGCAUGAAAAAAAAAAAAGAAAGAAACAGAUCAUACUCUAGCCCUGAGAGUGGGCAUGGCUUCACAUAUAAAGCCUGAGGAUAGAGACAGGCUUUCUCCCCAGCCUGUCCCUCUUUCUCUUCCUUGACCCCAGACCCUAAAGACUCAAGAGUGUGCUCCAGCACUGAGACGCACCCUCUGUCCACCAUUUCGCCUAAAACACCUGAACUGCUGCAACAGAGGGCCGCAGCCACAGCGCUGGCCUCCUGUCUGAGAACCCACCAGCUUCUCCCGACCCACGUGUACAGUCAACCUCCAGGUGCCGGCUGCAUUGCCCUCUAUCUGCACAUGGCUACGGUUCAGCAACUGUCACUUAUACGACAGUCAGUCUGUUCCUUGGAAUGGACAUUAUUCUGAGAGCAUCUGUGGACUGAACUUAAAAAGUUCCAGUAUCCCCUGCUACAAUGGGGCCACAGUUUCCUUUUCCACACUGUCUGUGCUGUGUACUUCCUAACACGGAUGUCUAGGGACGUGCCCUUGUGCACCUGUGUCUCAAGGUGCUCUUCUGACACUCGGGAGCAAACACUGAUUGACAGGGCUGGGUUUUGCUGCGUUUCUGGUAAAACUGUGUCAGGAACGAUUAAACGGUGAGGGCUGGAAAGGAGAUGAUGUCCCUCUCUAGAGACCGUGUCUACAUGCAACUGGGGUCAGUUUAGUGAAAAACACCAGUCAGAGGGGCCAUGUGAUUGAACUGACUGCCAAUUCCCCAGCCAGGGCAGGCAGCCUUGGGCUAUGCGGGAGCAAGGCAGCCAGCCCUUUGCUUCCUUUCCAUUUAAAACACAUCUCAAAGUCUCCAGACCAGAGGUAGAGAUUCAGUUCAAUGCCUUUGGAUUGAUUGAUUAAUUUAAAGCCCCUGAGAGAUCCUGUGGGUUCACAGAUAAAGCCAGACAAGCCGAGAAUUUUCCUGUCUUCCUCAAAAGCGGGAUGUUUCAGCCGCAGCCCCCUAAUUGGAGAUGAUUUACAUUUUUGUCUUGAUCUCUGUAUUGGAGAAGAGGAUGCAUUGUCAUCAGUGGUCACUGGAUUCUGGCUGAGCAGAGCUUCCCAGCUGCAGGCUAUGCCCACAUUCCUAUCUGGUACCGUCCAAGCCUGGAGCAGCGUCCAUGAACCUUCAAGCAGGGCCUCGCUGUUUUAACUCGGGGAUCCAACAAAUCUUGGCAGCAAACAUUAACUCUACCCCGUUCCAGUGGCCUAAGAAGCUGACUGGAAUUCCUCAAGCCUCAGCUGCCAUGGUAGGAAGUGGGGAUAUGACUGAGUUGCUGAGAUCAACGGUAUAGGAAAAAGCCACGUAAAAAAGAUGUCCAAUGAAAGGUACCAAUAACAGCUGGGGAGACAAUUGAUUUGGUAAAGCUGACCUGAGUUUGAUCCCCAGAACUCAUGCUUAAAAGAAAUCUUGCAUGGUUAGUUCCAGGCCAGGGGAGUCAGAGAUGGACUUACCGCCCUGGGACUUACCAAUGGCUUGCUAGUGUCCCUACUUGGUGAACUCUAGGCUACUAAGAAAAAAAAAACCGUGGAAUUCCAAAGGUGAUCAUAUGGGUGGAUGACCUCCACAUGUGUGUAUGUACACAUUCAUGCAUAACUAAGCCUGGAAGAACUGUUGUCGUCGUCGUCCCCCUCACGUGAAAUGUAUUAGUGAUCAUGAAGGUAACUAUCAGGGAGCCAAGUGCAGUCUCAUCAAACAGCACCAGGACAGCAGGGCUGCCAUGAACAUCUGGGUGCUCAUUCCAGAUGUUCUCCUGCAUCUCAAUUGCCUCUGCGUUUUCCUGGAGAGAUGCCUCCUUGUCAUCCAGCAUGGUGAUGCUGAAUGUUGGCUUCCUGGUAAAACCGAAGCCCGAAUCACAUGGUAGUCUCUGAUGCAGUCUACCUGCAGGGUAGCUUCUCCAAGGUCUACCUACGUGCAUGGUCUAAGUCUCUCCAAGGGGGGUCUCUCACCCUGCAAAGAGAUCUCUGGCUAGUGGCUAAGCAUAUAAAGCAAGAAGAAGCAAGACAUGCAGGGAGGGGGUGGUGGAGGGGAAGAGGGGGAGUUAGUAAUACCUUACAAAUUCAAUUUGCAUUCUCCCCUUGAUGUUAGUCCAAUCUGAAUGAGCUUUUCCAAAAUAAGCUGGCCUUUGAAAUCCUCCUGCGUGAUAGAUAGUCUUACACAUUUUAAAACACCAUACCUUUAAUAAACUAACCGGCACAAUGUGGUCUUAACUGGUUCUAGAAUAUUCUGAUAGCAAAACAUUUUCUGUUUCUGGGCCAGAACUGGACAUUUCUUCUUGGGAAUAUGAUGUUUGAAAAUCAGUUCCUCCUAUUAUAGAUUUUCCCCUCAGCUUGUAGAAAAUCCAUGAUUCCCUAAACAUUGGUCUUUGAAAGCACAUUGACUAAAAUCUUCAUGCUUAAUUCAUGAAGCGCAGUCUGGAGAUUAGUGGAGCUGGACAUAGACCGGGAAUACUUUAUCAUAUUCUAAUAAGCAGAGGCUGAAAAUUGCAUUUCUAAAGCUACAGUAUUAAAGGGCAUACCGCAAAACAUGACCCAAACAUAACUCAGUAGUUCUACGGAGCCUGAAAAGGCUUUGAUAUGAUAAAGUAUGCUGACGAUGAGAAUAAACACAACUAGAAAUUUUUGAAUUUAAAAAGGAAAAUAAGGAGGGGGCAUGUGAAACUUGGCAAACAUUUGGUAUAUUUAUGGAAAAAAAAUAUAUAUAUUAUAAACUCAUAUAUUGUGAUUCUUAUAAACAAGUAUGGACAACUGAGUCACGAGGUGGAAGAUCAUUGUAACACCACAGUGUAGGUGUUUGGAAAGGCUAAAAGCAUGAGAGAUGGGAGGAAAAUAAAUAAAGCGAGUGUAAUGAUGUUAAUUUAAAGGGUGCCAGAAAAAUCUUUCUUAAAAUAGGUCACCCCACAAAAUAAUGUGUGUGGUGGGGUCUGGGGGGAGAAGGCUUGAUGGUACACCCGGGUGCUUCUUAUAAAAUGGUGCGCUGUGAAAGACUGUCCUAAUACCUGCAAGAGCCAUCUACAAAAAGGAGGCAGGAUGUAAAAAAUAAAAUAAAAUAAAAAUCAACACUGAGUCCAAAUGAAUAAAUCAGCAGUGCAUACAAUAGGAAGUGCAGCAGUUGGCCUACAGUUGGGACUAAUAGUAUCUGAUAGGCAGAUGGAUAGACGGAUGGAUACCCAAAGGAGGGAGAAAGCAAGUGAAACAGAAACAGAGGGAUGAAAGGACAGAUGGAUAGAUACAUGAAGGAGUGAGAAACCAACAGAAGCAGGGUUAGAUAGACGGAAGGAUGGAAGGAAGAAAGGGAAAUCCAUGAGUAAGUGAGAAGCUAAUGAAAUAGGCCCUGUCUCAUAGGAGCUCACAGGGACUUCGGUCCACCCCACUGAGCGCCUGCUGACUCCCAAGGUGAACUGGCAACUCCAGAACCAGCAUGCUCUGGGAGAACAAGGCACAAGAACUCAGAGCGGAAGGGAUGGUUCUCAAGAGACCAUGACCCUAACAAGUGACCCUUGUAAAACAAGGCCAUAAACAGAACACUUUGAUGAAAAAGGAUCAGAAAGAACAAAGAAUGAAAAACUGCUCAUGUCCCUAAAUGGAGGACCAUCACCUGCCCGACACAAACACUCUUAGUCUACACAUGACACCCUUCGAACACUGAAGUUUGAAGUUACUGCAUUCAGGUUUGGGUCAGCAACCCAUCCACUUGGACUGGGUUAAGGCAUCAGGUCACCUCACUGGCUUGUCAGGAGGAGGUGGCUCUUCUCUGCUCAGUGUGAAGGACCCUGCUUAUGCCUGCUAGGGGGUCUGAGUGGGGAAAAGGGUAAAUUAAGGACCUCAUUCUUGAGACGUGCAGCCUCGGAAACAGCCACAGGAAGGAGUGAGAGAAUGCCUUUUCUGCAAAGGCGUGGCCUGCCCUUGUUCAUGGUCCCAACAAAAACACUCUUCUGCUGGAGGGAGGUCCUGUGACGGCCACCUGGGUGUAUGACAGAUGAGAGACACCGAGAAGCCUAUGAUAAAGGACAGGCUCUGGUUCCGGGGUCAGCAAGGAGAAAAGGACACAUUUUCUGUUGUCGUUGCCGUGGCGGUAUCUCUGAACCCGGAGUUUCCCAGCCUUCUGGGACUCUUCUACCUAAUUCCAGUUCUACUUUGGUGGCCAUGAUGGGAGUGAAGGACAUGCCUACACCCUUGGUGGCUGAGCUCCUGUAGCAGGCCCCGACGUCAAGCCUCAAGCCUUCUGAUGAAGCAUUCCUCCCCUCCAGACAUCUCUAGCUCCCUGGGCACUAGCUCUUUGACAGUGAGGCUGGGGUUGCAGUGAAAUGAAAUCUCGGCUUCCCUGAGAGACCCACUCUUCUUCUUCCCUUAAUUAUCAUUCCUUACUUGCAAGAUGCAUCGGCUGCUAUUUAAAUAAACAAUGGGGGAUUUGGAACAGAGAAACUAUGGAAAUGAAGUUGCUUUAAUUUACAUCCCAAGGGAACGGGGCUGUGGAGUUGUGUGAAUGCCAAAUAAAUAAAUAAACACUUUAAAUAAGUGUCAAGUUGGGGAUAGCCUGAGUUGUAAAGGGGACAAAGGAGCCAAGGGUGGCCUGUGCAAAUUAGAUCUUGCACUGAGCAUGUGAUAUCCAGGGCUCCUUCACAAGUGGAAGACAGAAAUGCAGUGGGAAUAUCAGCCUCUUAGGGCAACAGA